rnacentral:rRNA from 1 species
CUGGGCGUAAAGCGCACGCAGGCGGUCUGUUAAGUCAGAUGUGAAAUCCCCGGGCUUAACCUGGGAACUGCAUUUGAAACUGGCAGGCUUGAGUCUCGUAGAGGGGGGUAGAAUUCCAGGUGUAGCGGUGAAAUGCGUAGAGAUCUGGAGGAAUACCGGUGGCGAAGGCGGCCCCCUGGACGAAGACUGACGCUCAGGUGCGAAAGCGUGGGGAGCAAACAGGAUUAGAUACCCUGGUAGUCCACGCCGUAAACGAUGUCGACUUGGAGGUUGUGCCCUUGAGGCGUGGCAUCCGGAGCUAACGCGUUAAGUCGACCGCCUGGGGAGUACGGCCGCAAGGUUAAAACUCAAAUGAAUUGACGGGGGCCCGCACAAGCGGUGGAGCAUGUGGUUUAAUUCGAUGCAACGCGAAGAACCUUACCUGGCCUUGACAUCCAGAGAACUUAGCAGAGAUGCUUUGGUGCCUUCGGGAACUCUGAGACAGGUGCUGCAUGGCUGUCGUCAGCUCGUGUUGUGAAAUGUUGGGUUAAGUCCCGCAACGAGCGCAACCCUUAUCCCUUGUUGCCAGCGGUUCGGCCGGGAACUCAAAGGAGACUGC